UACGUAGGGUGCAAGCGUUGUCCGGAAUUAUUGGGGCGUAAAGAGCUUGUAGGCGGUCUGUCGCGUCUGCUGUGAAAAUCCGGGGCUCAACCCCGGACUUGCAGUGGGUACGGGCAGACUAGAGUGUGGUAGGGGAGACUGGAAUUCCUGGUGUAGCGGUGAAAUGCGCAGAUAUCAGGAGGAACACCGAUGGCGAAGGCAGGUCUCUGGGCCAGCUACUGCGCUGAGGCACGAAGGUCAGGGGAGCAAACGGG
rnacentral:rRNA from 1 species